AUUGAACGCUGGCGGCAGGCCUAACACAUGCAAGUCGAGCGAGCGGCGGACGGGUGAGUAAUGUAUGGGGACUGCCCGAUAGAGGGGGAUAACUACUGGAAACGGUGGCUAAUACCGCAUACUAUCGGAUAACCCAUAUGGGAUUAGCUAGUAGGUGGGGUAAAGGCUCACCUAGGCGACGAACUCUAGCUGGUCUGAGGGGAUGAUCAGCCACACUGGGACUGAGACGCGGCCCAGACUCCUGCGGGGGCAGCAGUGGAGAAUAUUGCACAAUGGGCACGAGCCUGAUGCAGCCGUGCCGCGUGUAUGAAGGAGGCCUGAGGUUUAUAAAGUACUUUCAGCGGGGAGACGUUACCCGCAGGAGAGGCACCGGCUAACUCCGUGCCGGCGGCCGCGGUAAUAC
rnacentral:rRNA from 1 species